GCGGCCGUCGUCUAGCCUGGACUAGGACACAGGCCUCCCGAGCCUGCGACCCGGGUUCAAAUCCCGGCGGCCGCA
rnacentral:tRNA from 4 species